rnacentral:rRNA from 1 species
AUACAUGCAAGUCGAACGGUAAGUUAGUUGCUUGCAACUAACACGAGUGGCGCACGGGUGAGUAACGCGUACGCGACCUGCCCUCAAGAGGGAAAUAGCCCUGGGAAACCGGGAUUAAUGUCCCAUGUGAUUGUAUUUCUAAGGGAUAUAAUUAAAGGAGCGAUCCGCUUGAGGAUGGGCGUGCGUGCUAUUAGCUAGUUGGUGAGGUAAUGGCUCACCAAGGCGACGAUAGCUAGGGGGCGUGAGAGCGUGACCCCCCACACGGGUACUGAGACACGGACCCGACUCCUACGGGAGGCAGCAGUAAGGAAUAUUGGACAAUGGGGCAACCCUGAUCCAGCCAUCCCGCGUGCAGGAAGACGGCCCUAUGGGUUGUAAACUGCUUUUAUUACGGAAGAAUAGCAUCAAUGAAUUGGUGUAUGACGGUACCUAAAGAAUAAGCACCGGCUAACUCCGUGCCAGCAGCCGCGGUAAUACGGAGGGUGCAAGCGUUAUCCGGAAUCACUGGGUAUAACAGGGUGCGUAGGUGGAAUAAUAAGUCAGGCGUGAAAGGUUACAGCUU